rnacentral:rRNA from 1 species
UACGAAGGGGACUAGCGUUGUCCGGAUUUAUUGGGCGUAAAGAGCUCGUAGGCGGCUUGUCGCGUCGACCGUGAAAACUUGGGGCUCAACCCCAAGCCUGCGGUCGAUACGGGCAGGCUCGAGUUCGGUAGGGGAGACUGGAAUUCCUGGUGUAGCGGUGAAAUGCGCAGAUAUCAGGAGGAACACCGGUGGCGAAGGCGGGUCUCUGGGCCGAUACUGACGCUGAGGAGCGAAAGCGUGGGGAGCGAACAGG